UAAAGGGCGUGUAGGCGGAGGAGCAAGUCAGAUGUGAAAUCCCGGGGCUUAACCCCGGAACUGCAUUUGAAACUGUUUCCCUUGAGUAUCGGAGAGGCAAGCGGAAUUCCUAGUGUAGCGGUGAAAUGCGUAGAUAUUAGGAGGAACACCAGCGGCGAAGGCGGCCAACUGGGCUUUUACUGACGCUGAGGCUCGAAAGUGUGGGGAGCAAACAGGAUUAGAUACCCUGGUAGUCCACACCGUAAACGAUGAUUACUAGGUGUGGGGGGACUGACCCCUUCCGUGCCGGAGUUAACACAAUAAGUAAUCCACCUGGGGAGUACGGCCGCAAGGUUGAAACUCAAAGGAAUUGACGGGGGCCCGCACAAGCGGAGGAACAUGUGGUUUAAUUCGAUGAUACGCGAGGAACCUUACCCGGGCUUGAACUGCAGGAGAACGAUUCAGAGAUGAUGAGGCCCUUCGGGGCUCCUGUGGAGGUGCUGCAUGGUUGUCGUCAGCUCGUGCCGUGAGGUGUCGGCUUAAGUGCCAUAACGAGCGCAACCCCUCUCUUCAGUUGCCAUCAGGUUAAGCUGGGCACUCUGGAGACACUGCCACCGCAAGGUGUGAGGAAGGUGGGGAUGACGUCAAAUCAGCACGGCCCUUACGUCCGGGGCUACACACGUGUUACAAUGGGUGAUACAGAGCGUCGGCUUGCCGCAAGGAGAGUCCAAUCGCGAAAGUCAUCCUCAGUUCGGACUGGGGUCUGCAACCCGACCCCACGAAGCUGGAUUCGCUAGUAAUCGCGC
rnacentral:rRNA from 1 species